rnacentral:tRNA from 1 species
GCCUGGGUGCCUCAGUUGGUUAAGCGUCUGACUUCGGCUCAGGUCAUGAUCUCGCAGUUUGUGGGUUUGAGCUCCACCUCAGGCC